rfam:Myotis davidii contig85950, whole genome shotgun sequence.
GGCAGUUCUCAGGUGAUGCGCCCCAGAAUCAGGCUCCCUCCUCUCUGGUUCCAGGUGUGUCACCCAAGAACCGCA